AGUUUGGCUGGUGAUGCAAGAGUUCAGCAAAAAUCAACGAAAGGAUUAGGGAGUGCUGAUUCAGGUUAUUAAGGCUUUGCUUGAUGACACACCACUGCAGUGGUCUGGAACCAAAGCUGCAAUAUCUCCAAGGAGGCAGAAGGAGUAGCACAAGCAAAGCUGUGCAAGUUGGGAAUGACAGCCAUUUUCAAAAUCACAACAGUCACUUCCUGGGGCAUAACACCGUCUGAUAUCAUCUUACUGAGAGGGUGUCAGCCUUAGCUGAAAGCAAGGAAAGAACCAGGGGUUAGCCAACCAAACAGGAUUCAAGAGAAACUUGAAAGAAGAGGCUGUGGGGACCAACAUUUUCAGACCGAGAAGCACAGCCCAGGCAUUACAGCAGGCGAGCAGCGGCCAGAGGGUAAAAGGCAAGUUAAAGUAAAACCAUCUUGCUCCCUCACCUCGUUGCCCUACAGUUGUUCUUAGCAAACAAGGUCCUCUGGGAACUCCUGCUUUUGGAUGACAUAGGCUUUACCAGGAUGAAGGUGGCCUUGCUAUCUGUUGGACCAAAUCUGCUCAUCAACUGUGAGAAAUGACCGAUGACAGGACAUCACCUGGUCAUCGGGAACCCAGCCAGCAUGGAAACUGUGUCGGCUGACCCUGGAACCUAUACAGGAUCCCUCUUUAGGACUCUUUUCUUCACGGACUUAUGCAAGUAAAAUAACUAAAAAUGGUG